GAUGAACGCUGGCGGCGUGCCUAAUACAUGCAAGUCGAGCGAACAGAUGAUGAGCUUGCUCCUCUGACGUUAGCGGCGGACGAGUGAGUAACGCGUGGAUAACCUACCUAUUAUACUGGGAUAACUUCGUGAAACCGGAUCCAAUACUAGAUAAUAUAUUGUACCGCAGGGUUCAAUAGUUAAUGACGGUUUUGCUGUCACUUAUAGAUGGUUCCGCGUCGCAUUAGCUAGUUGGUAAGGUAACGGCUCACCAAGGCAACGAUGCGUAGCCGACCUGAGAGGAUGAUCGGCCACACUGGAACUGAGACACGGUCCAGACUCCUACGGGAGGCAGCAGUGGGGAAUAUUCCACAAUGGGCGCAAGCCUGACCCAGCCACACCGCGUGAGUGAUGAAGGUCUUCGGAUCGUAAAGCUCUGUUAUUAGGAAAGAAAAACUGUGUAAUUAACUCUCGAUGUUUUGACGGUACCCAAACAGAAAGCCCCGGCUAACUACGUG
rnacentral:rRNA from 1 species